AGCAUCCAACAUCACCAUGACGUUUCAAAAAUGCAUCUUGCAAAUAAAAUAAAAUAAAAAAACAACCAUGAUCCAAAAUAAACAAAUCUAACAUGAACAAUGAGUGCGCAAUGUUGCGACGUUUUGAAGUUCUGAAGAAGAAAAAACCUGCAAAACCUGUAUGUAAGUCCUGUGCAACGAUCAACGAAGCCCAAGAACUGAUUAACAGAUUAAAAAGGAUCGUAAAAUCCACACCAAAAUGUGAAAUAUGUAAUAUGGAGUGCACAGUUGAAUACCAUCUUUGUAACUUGGUAGCUUGGACGGGGGCUAUAGUAAUACUUGCUAUUGUUCUGAGGUCUCUAUAUCUGCUGUAUAUGAAGCCAGAAGGUACAUGACAAGGACGAUCCAGUGAAACUAUGAUCGGCCGAAUAUGCACAAAUGUUGGGAUUUAGAAAAAAGACGAGGAUAUAUCGUCUUAAGCGGGCCAUUUAUUUAAAAACCAGAAAUGGUACGCUUGGGUCUGGAUUUGUGUCCCAAAUUAGCAACAUUGUAGUAUCCAUUGGCAUUCUCUUUGUAUUCUUGUUAAUUCUGAGAGCGCUCUAUUUGAAGUUUGUUAAAAAUCAAAUGGAAUGUUAUUACUAAAUAUAGAAAUUACAUGCUGUAACUGAGGAAUAAAAUCAUG